rnacentral:lncRNA from 1 species
CCAGCCACGAACGACUUUACUUCAAACUUCUUCCAGACUUCGUCAAUGUCCGAGCUUCUCCAAUAGUAGGACUUCUAUAGUAAUCAGACUCCAUCCAAGUUUCUAUGAUGGUCGACCGUCUUUCAAAUUUCAUUUGAGCUCCAACAAGAGCUGGAUCCCAGUCGAACUUCUACAGCGGAUAGAUUCUAGACGAACUCCUACAACAGAUGGGCUCCACCAAUCGGAUCUCUACU